ensembl:lncRNA
CCCUGAUGCUACUGCUGCUCAGCUUAUAAACCUCUGAGACCAAUGGAGCCUUUAAAAGUUCACAAGAUGCCAUCAGACUUUGAUUUCCACCUGUAUGAAUAUACACAAUGACAAAGCUACACCAGAGCCCCUCCAGAAGUGCUCAGAGCUGGGAACAGCAAACCAAGAGAAAUUCCAGCAAAGGGGCGGUGACUGAUGCUGCAGAUAGCAGUUAUCAGAGGAGCCCAUAAAUCCACCCAACCUAAACACAGUGUCAGGCAGCAGCCCUUCUGCUUUGGAUGUCGCCUCCGGGGAUGCACAGCUGCUUGUUCUGAUCAACAGUUUCCAUUCUGUCUUUCAGGUUCCCAGAAGACACUGUUUCCUGGGAAAUGUCUUUGUGGUGCUGGUUGAGUGCCUGCACGGCCUCAGGGAGAAGGAGCAGAGCUUGACACUGUCCUGAUGCACAGCUUCAAACUGCCGUUAGGCUGCCAUGGGAUGGCUGGGAAAUGUGUAAAUGGGUAAAACAACGUGUAUUGGUGAAACCAGCUUGCUGGCAUUACAGAGCUUGUUUAAUCGUGGAGUCACAGAAUGGCCUGGGAUGAAAGGGACCUCAAAGAUCAUCUAGUUCCAACCCCCUGGAAAGUCUGCAUUAAGAAAUAGUACCAGCUUCUCUCCUGGGGCUUGUAAUUGUCACUUACCAGCACCGUGAUCUUUAACACAACGACUCUCUAGUGGCAUCACUGUGGUUGCAGUCACCCCAAUCCUCUGCAGACGGAGAUUACUUGAGGUGAGAUGGAGAGGGACAGAGGGAUGAAAAGCAGGGAAGCCACAAGCCUGGAGCUGAUGCCACCGCAGAGAUGUGCUGAGUGUCAGGAGUGAGUCUGCUAUCCCCUACACCUGGGCUGCUCUGCAGAUGAGCUGUGCUACUCUACACUGCAAAUCUGGGUUUGGCUGGAGGCUGCUUCGGAUGAACAUUUGGGAUUUUGCCAUAACAAGACCUGUAAAUCCAACUGAAAUUGCACAGCGUGUGUGUGCUCCAGGAACAAAAACCUCCACCAUGGUGCACUGAGCUGCCUUCUCUCCCCUAAAAUGGAUGGAUCCAUUUCGGUUCUGGCCCAGUGCCAUUUCAGUUGGCUUUCCAUCAUUACUGCUCACAUCGGGAGCUGCUGCCUUAAACCAACAUGAGUUGGAUGCCCCUCUUGACAAUUCCUAAGGCUCACCUGUUCUAGCAGCGCUGUACAGAAAUAGCUGUGCUCCUG